UUUCGGCAAAAUGUCCAUAAAUUUGUUCGAAAUAAGACAAAAGUGAUCUGAUAGUUGAAAACCACAAAAAGUAAUAAUUGGCUUAGGAGGGCCGCUCUGCCCCACCCUCCCCUAUUCAUGUUAAUAUUAAAGUAAAACGUAUUUUUAAACAUAGUACUUAAGUGUCAUAUAUUUUAUAUAUAAAAACAUAUCUCCAAUAAGUAUAUAACAUUUUCAUAACCUCAAUCUAGAUAUUUGAUUUAUUGCAAUAAUAGAAGUGACAAAAACUGAGUUAAUAAUUAAGAAAAAUGGUCGGCACAUGUUUUUCAAUGUGUUCAGGAAAAGAAUGACGUCUAAGAGAACGAGAAGGUUUAUUACGCAUUUCAGAGAUCGAUGGAAAACCUAAAAAUCAAAGGCACAAAAAAGCUGAUUUCACUAAAAUAAUGAAAUGUUUUCAAAGAUCCAGUGUAGAGUUUCACUCCAAAAAGGCAUACGCUGGAGCUUAAUUUAUGAAUUAACAUUCAACAGGAUCCGGGCAAUAAAACAAGACAUGAUCAUAUAGAGAUUAGAUUCAACCAAAAGCAUUAAAAUUUUAGAACCAGUUGUUAAAUUUCAUAUUUAUGCUGCUGAAAGAAUACGGAAGAGACCUUUAAGGAAUUUUGUUCACAAAUUGAAUGAUCAGCAUUUACUGGAAUUAAACGAUUAGUCGUCCUGUACGACGAUAUCAAUUAUGCCAGCGCUGACGUUCACGAGGAAAAGAAACCAACGAAUUAAUUGGAAAAAAAAAAAAAAAAACAAUUUACCAACAACCAUUGAAACUGUAUACCUCUUGCUUUAUGAAUUUGUAAUAGAUUUAUACCAUAAUUUAAAAUGUUACAUAUGUAUUUUUAGCAAUAAUAUUACCAUUCAAGUAAUUGAAUCAAAAUAAAAAAGAAGAGAACCGAAUUUAAAAAAUAUAUAUAUAUAAUGAAAACAAAAAAUGUAAAACAGGUCUAA